ensembl:lncRNA
ACAGAUCGGGGACCCUGCCCCUGGGUGACCCUGAGGGAGAGCAUGUUGCUGUGUUUCCAAGUACUUUCUGUGCACGUCUGCCUCUCCCCAGACACGGGGCACUUCUGCUGCAUUAGAACCCCCCUCCCUUCUCUCUGGCCACAGAUACCAAGAUCCAGGAGUACAAGCUCCUUCUCUGCAGUCACCAGUAAAUUCUCCAGGUUUAAGACUGAUGAUUGCCUGUCAUAGAGCAGGUGCUCCACACAUUUUUGGCUGAUGGAACAAAUGAAGUAAACAUAUGAUUGAAUAUAUAAUGACAACUUGUGACAGGUAAAGAAAAGCAGAAAUUAGGGACCCCAGUUACUUUGAGAUCCCCGCUUUGCUGAGAUGUGUGGGCCUGACCUUCCCAGCACGGUGUACUGUCAAGAUUUUCAAGUCCUUUCUCAAGACCAUAUUUCAGCUUCCUCAGAACAUCCUUCCAAGAUUUUCAAGAAGAGACGCUGAGGUCCCAGCAAGCAGGCCACACAAAAGAACAAGUUUCCAAAGUUGAAACAUCUUGUCCUGACACCUGGACAGUCAUGGGAGGAACAGGAAUGGGCAGCCCAGGUCAGAUAGCCAGAGAAACUCACUUGCCCAGAGACAAACAACCAGUGGAUGAAGGCACUACUACAUGAG